rnacentral:rRNA from 1 species
CCUACGGGUGGCAGCAGUGAGGAAUAUUGGUCAAUGGGCGGAAGCCUGAACCAGCCAAGUCGCGUGAGGGAUUAAGGCCCUAUGGGUCGUAAACCUCUUUUGUCAGGGAGCAAGGUCGUCCACGUGUGGGCGUAUGGAGAGUACCUGAAGAAAAAGCAUCGGCUAACUCCGUGCCAGCAGCCGCGGUAAUACGGAGGGUGCGAGCGUUAAUCGGAAUUACUGGGCGUAAAGCGCUCGUAGGCGGUAUGUCAAGUCAAGGGUGAAAUCCCCGCGCUCAACGUGGGAACUGCCUUUGAAACUGGCAAACUGGAGUGUGUGAGAGGAUAGUGGAAUUCCAGGUGUAGGAGUGAAAUCCGUAGAUAUCUGGAGGAACAUCAGUGGCGAAGGCGACUAUCUGGCACAUAACUGACGCUGAGGAGCGAAAGCGUGGGUAGCAAACAGGAUUAGAUACCCGAGUAGUC